UUGCAGCCUGCAGAGAUCAACACAGAAGUGUGAGUGAUAUAUAACAACACAGUUACUUAUGACAGGGGUUUUCAGACUAGGAUUAUGGAGAGAGAAAAAAAUAAAAUGUACCAAAUUUGAAAUUUGAAUUUAAAAAAGACAUAUUCCAAAACUACUGUAAGUUUAAAAAAGUAUUAUUAACGUAUGAUAAUGUUUCAGAGGACCCCCAAAUUAUAUAUAUAUAAAACUGUGGAAGAAAGUAUAUUUUUUCUGUAAUGUUUUUCUCUACAAAAAAUGCUGUUUUUUAUUUGAAUCCAAAUCUCAAGCAGAUGUUGUCUUCCUAAUAGGACAUGUUUUCUUACACAGUAUACAUGGAUCUUUAUUCAUAAAAUUAAUGUUUAUAAAUUAUAUAAUGCCAAUUAUGCUAAAAAUAAAAUUUUUCCAGAUUCAGUUAUAGUAAGGAUUGAAACAUGAACCCCUAACCCUGAUCCAUCCUUAAAAAUAAGUACAAAUUCUGGCAAUAAAUUAAUUCUAGAGAGCCUCAGACCGGAUUCAUUACAAAACAAUAUUUAUUUUACAAUUGUUAACAGAGUUGUUCUGUGAUUUUUCAGAGGACCCCCAAAUUAUUAUUAUUAUUAUUUUUUUUUAAGUUUUUUUUUUUUCUUUUUUUUUUGAUUUUGUGGAGAGAAAAUUCUGUGUUUGAUUCAAAUUAAAAUCACAAAAAUGUUGUCUUAAUAAUACGUUGCUUAAUUUUUUUUCUCACAUAGUAUAAAUGAGAAUUUCUACAUUAAAUGAUGUACAUGCAACUGUUUUGUAACUAACAUUCUUCAAAAUAUCUUAUUUUGUGUUCAGCAGAAGAGACGGAGCUUUGUAGAAAUCAGUGCGUUUCAGAAAGACACGGCAGAGAGGAGCGACAAUAAAGUACGCUCUUCUUUCAGUUCUGUCACGACGCUGAGCAGAGACGAAGGGCUUUCUUCUGCAUCUCCGUCUUCCUCCACGACUCUAAUGACCGGUGUGAUACAGAACAAUCCGCUCGCACGCGUCUCCUCAGCAUCCUCCUGGAGUUCCUCAGGCUUCACCUCCUCCUCGCUCCGUCUGUCUUCUGUCCCCAGCGGCUCGCUCGAGUCUGUGACGGAGAUCUCACAGGACGAGCUGGACCACGGCGUGCUGUCCACACUCAGACUCGAUGAAGACGUGAUGUUGUCGUAAGUAGACAGUCUCUGAGAGGAGCCCGAGUCCCUGGAGCGUUCCCCAGCUGAGGUUCGGCGGUGUCCCCUCAGUGAGGACAGACCGUUCAUUAACCAGUUCCCACCGUCCACCGCGGAGCCUCUGAAGGUGUGCUUCCAUCCCGGAAGUGUCUUGGCCUGCUUACUAGGGCUGACGGCUGUCUCUCCCUUCCCCUGAGACGAGGUGUGGAGAUCCUCCUCAGAGAUCACGUCCACCAGGUCGGACUGCUGAAGUUGCUGGCUUUGGUCCUCGAGCUCCGUCUGGUUCUGUGAUGUUUCUGAGGGUUUCUCAGUGUACAGGUGCUCGUGAUUACUGAUGAGCAGCGUCAUGAGAUGCUGAACAAGGGAGGUGCCUAUAACACACACACACACACACACACAUACACACACACAAGCAUAAAACGCCUCUUAUACUGCAUGCAUGGGGAAUGGCUGAACAUGCAAGAUCCACUAGCCAAUUUUCAUUAGCAAUUUCCUCUUAAUCAGAGAGGAUACGGGGUCCCAGGACCCCUAAUGUUGUCAUGACAUAACAUCUUCAUCAGGGAACAAGGGUUGCAUACAUAACCCAGACGUUGCACAUUAUAAUGUUUACACAUUUUCCAGACAAUAAGUCGCACUGGGUCAAAACUGCAUUGUUGAGAGGAAAAACGUUGCAUUGGGUUAUAGGUGAAAUUUUAUUAGUACAUUUAGAAAAAAAUUACAAUGCACUGUAAAAACAAUUUAUUGAAGUUCUAAAUAAAACAAAAAAAAAUAUUUGGAGUAUCUUUACAAAAUAAUUCAGUAUCUUUACUUGUUUCAGUCCUGCUACUUAAAACAAUGUCAUGAUUAAUUUAGUUUUGUACUUGCCAUUUCUUUGUAAAUGCUUAUACAAUUUGGGUGUACAACUGAUUUCUAACAUAUGUGACAUGAAAUAAAAUUAUUUUUUUAAUAUUAUGAAA